rnacentral:lncRNA from 1 species
AGCACAAGCGAGUCAGCCCAACUAUUCUAAGCUAAAUCAAAUCACCACAAUGUAUCAUCAUGAUGUGAAGAUAUUGUAGAAUAAUACAAAUAAUUUCACCAUAUUUUCAUCUUAUUCAUUUCAAGCUAGAAACACCCAGUGACCUUCAGCCUUCUGAAAAUGGGACCAUCAGGCCUCAUUUCCAAGUUCAAACAGUUUUAAUAAAAAUGAAAUAGC